AGGACGAACGCUGGCGGCGUGCUUAACACAUGCAAGUCGAACGAUGAACCUCCUUCGGGAGGGGAUUAGUGGCGAACGGGUGAGUAACACGUGGGCAAUCUGCCCUUCACUCUGGGACAAGCCCUGGAAACGGGGUCUAAUACCGGAUAUGACACACGACCGCAUGGUCUGUGUGUGGAAAGCUCCGGCGGUGAAGGAUGAGCCCGCGGCCUAUCAGCUUGUUGGUGGGGUGAUGGCCUACCAAGGCGACGACGGGUA
rnacentral:rRNA from 1 species